rnacentral:rRNA from 1 species
CCUACGGGAGGCAGCAGUGGGGAAUCUUGCGCAAUGGGCGAAAGCCUGACGCAGCCAUGCCGCGUGAAUGAUGAAGGUCUUAGGAUUGUAAAAUUCUUUCACCGGGGACGAUAAUGACGGUACCCGGAGAAGAAGCCCCGGCUAACUUCGUGCCAGCAGCCGCGGUAAUACGAAGGGGGCUAGCGUUGCUCGGAAUUACUGGGCGUAAAGGGAGCGUAGGCGGAUAGUUUAGUCAGAGGUGAAAGCCCAGGGCUCAACCUUGGAAUUGCCUUUGAUACUGGCUAUCUUGAGUGUGGGAGAGGUUAGCGGAACUCCGAGUGUAGAGGUGAAAUUCGUAGAUAUUCGGAAGAACACCAGUGGCGAAGGCGGCUAACUGGCCCAUUACUGACGCUGAGGCUCGAAAGCGUGGGGAGCAAACAGGAUUAGAUACCCUGGUAGUCCACGCCGUAAACGAUGAGUGCUAGUUGUCGGCAGGCAUGCCUGUCGGUGACGCAGCUAACGCAUUAAGCACUCCGCCUGGGGAAGUCGGUCGCAGAUUAAACUCAAAGGAUUGACGGCUGAGACCGNGCGAGACGACGACGAGGGAGAG